AUCAAAAAUAUAUCAAUAUAUAUAAAUAAAUAUAUAUAUAUAUAUAUACACCGUCAACGAGCGCCCAUUCAUUUAAUAGAAUCAGUACCCUACAUUUAUAUACAUAUUUUUAAUUAUAUUCGUAGAUUUCACUAAUUUAAAAUGAAGAUAACUAUGUUGAAUUUAGUUUUUUUAUACAUAUUUUUUAUUCAUGUAUAUAAACAAGUCCUUAGUAAUGAAAACAACAGACCUCCAAGAAAUCCAAGAAAUCCAAGAAAUCCAAGACAUCCUUAUGCUAUAGAAAACGCACCUGCUCCACCUCCUAGUCCAAACUCUCCUCCUCCUUAUUACAGUCUUUCUCAUUCUUCUACUCUCCUUCCUUCCUACACUCAUACUCCUCGUCAAAAUCACAAUCACUCUCCUCCUCCUCCUUAUACUCCAUCUAGUUUUACCCUUCAGUCACAUAUUUCACCCCCUCUUCAUUCUCCUCUUUCAUCUUCUCGUUCACCUCCUUUUUCGUCUCCUUUUUCACCUCGUCCUCAACAACGUUCUGUUAGUUUGCACCCGAAUCCUCCUCAGUACUCUCAUCCUCCUCCUCCUCCGCGGUAUUCUAAUUAUUCCUCCCAUCAACACUCUCCUCCUUCUCAUCCUCUUUCUUCUCGUUCUCCUCCUUCUCCUAUUUUUCCUCUUUCUCCUCUUUCUCCUCCUUCCCCCCCUCAACACUCUCCUUCUUCUCAUCCUUCUUCUCAUCCUUCUUCUCAUCCUUCUGCUCAUCCUUCUGCUCAUCCUUCUUCUCAUCCUUCUUCUCAUCCUUCUUCUCAUCCUUAUUCUCAUCCUUCUUCUCAUCCUUCUUCUCCUUCUCUUUCAGCUUAUAAUGGAGCUUCUUCUUCUUCUUCUUCUUCUUUAAAUUCAGAUUCUGAUGGAAAUUCUUCUCAAUCUACGUCACCUUUUUUUAAUACUUAUUACAUUGAUGCUGAACCGAACGGCUAUGCUCCUUCUGAUAAUAGUACAUUUAGUAUAUCUACUAUAUCUACGUCACCUAUCUCUCUGCCGUACACUCCUCCUCCUUUUUAUACCCCUUUCGUUCCAAUUUCAUCUAGUAAUAUAUCACAUACAAGCCAUAAUCCUACUCCUUUUAUUUGGCCACAACCUGUUACACCUUCAAAUGCGAAUAGAAAUUCACGUCCUUCUAGUGCAAACUCGACUCCUCCUCCGUCUCGUAUUAACUCUACUUCGCCUUCCUCUAAUCCUUUUUUAAUUCAUUCUCAUGUUCAUCGAUCUUCUACUACACCUUCUGCGUCCCCUCCCAAUAAUAUGUACAGAAAUCGUCCUCCUACACCUUUUCAUUCACCCCUUCCUACUGAGCAAUCUUAUACAGCUACACAUCCUUCUUCUUCAACCUCAUCAAAUUAUCCAGCUUCUAGUUCUACGUUUUCUGCCAUUACUUCUUCUAAUGUUAACUUGACUCCACCUUCUUCAAAUCCCAUUGUUACCCCUUCCUUUGUUCGUCCAUCUUCUACUAGACCUUCUUCGUCUCUUCCUACACCUAUUUCUUCUUCAACCGUAAUAAAUCAUUCAGCUUCUAAUUCUGCGUUUUCUAUCAUUUCUCCCCCUGUUUCUAGCUCCACAUCUGCUGCUUCUCGUGGUCC
ensembl:lncRNA